rnacentral:rRNA from 1 species
UGGGGAAUAUUGCACAAUGGGCGCAAGCCUGAUGCAGCCAUGCCGCGUGUAUGAAGAAGGCCUUCGGGUUGUAAAGUACUUUCAGCGGGGAGGAAGGCGAUAAGGUUAAUAACCUUGUCGAUUGACGUUACCCGCAGAAGAAGCACCGGCUAACUCCGUGCCAGCAGCCGCGGUAAUACGGAGGGUGCAAGCGUUAAUCGGAAUUACUGGGCGUAAAGCGCACGCAGGCGGUCUGUCAAGUCGGAUGUGAAAUCCUCGGGCUCAACCUGGGAACUGCAUUCGAAACUGGCAGGCUAGAGUCUUGUAGAGGGGGGUAGAAUUCCAGGUGUAGCGGUGAAAUGCGUAGAGAUCUGGAGGAAUACCGGUGGCGAAGGCGGCCCCCUGGACAAAGACUGACGCUCAGGUGCGAAAGCGUGGGGAGCAAACA